rnacentral:rRNA from 1 species
UGGGGAAGUAUUGGACAAUGGGCGGAAAGCCUGAUCCAGCAAUGCCGCGUGUGUGAAGAAGGUCUUCGGAUUGUAAAGCACUUUCGACGGGGACGGAUGAUGACGGUACCCGUAGAAGAAGCCCCGGCUAACUUCGUGCCAG